rnacentral:rRNA from 1 species
UACGAGGGGAGCAAGCGUUGUUCGGAUUUACUGGGCGUAAAGGGCGCGUAGGCGGCCACCGCAAGUCGACUGUGAAAUCUCCGGGCUUAACCCGGAAAGGUCAGCCGAUACUGCGGGGCUAGAGUGCAGAAGGGGCAACUGGAAUUCUCGGUGUAGCGGUGAAAUGCGUAGAUAUCGAGAGGAACACCUGCGGCGAAGGCGGGUUGCUGGGCUGACACUGACGCUGAUGUGCGAAAGCUAGGGGAGCGAACGGG